rnacentral:tRNA from 1 species
GCGGGAUAGCUCAGUUGGUUAGAGCAACGGAAUCAUAAUCCGUGUGUCGAGGGUUCGAAUCCCCCUCCCG